CUGGCGUCUAUUUCCCGACGUAGCCAACGUGGUGACGCACGCGUCACGUGAGCGCGCUUCAAAGUCAACUGACGGAGAGGGGGAUUUAUUUUCCCGCCAAUGAGCGAAUGAGGAGAUCGGAGAAGGCAGUAACCAUAUAUGAUUGUUCUGAUGCCGAUGCUCAGCAUGAAGUGGGUGACAUCAUUGGAAACUGAGACUGUAUCCCGCCAGUAUGCAGACAUUCUGGUGGUACAAAUUAAUACCAUGCAAGUUGUGAUUCCUUCACCAAAGAUGUCCAGAAGACUAUUCACUGCAGAGAGCAAUGUUGAAACAUUUACAUAGAGAGAUCACAAAGUUACACCUGUUUAUUUACAUUACUGAGUAAUGGAGCUCAGUGGACAGAGGUGAAUUCAUUAGUAAGGCUGGAUUUCCCAUAGACGCAUUGAAGAGAAUUGGACUCAUUUCUCUAUGGACAUAUACAGGUGCAUAUGAACUUGCCAAAAGCCACAACAAGCAGUGCUGUGCCGAACGCUAUCCCUGCAUUUAACUUAUUUAUAUCCGAAGGCUGAAAACGCCUUCCGGGUCAAAGGCACAAGAGAAAUCUCUAAUGCUCAUAGCCAACAGCCACAAGAGGGAGUAGGAGCCUUUCCCAGCCCUGGAUAAAUAAGGCGUCAGUCAAGAAGCCAAGUGACAAUGAAGACUUUUAUAUUGGAUUGUAAAGAGAGAACUAGCCAAACUAUUGUGAAGCAAUUUACCUGUAGGAAAAAAACAUAUUAACUUCAUAAAGUUCAACAAAGUCAGCACGUUCCUGAAUGCUAAAAGCUUUCUUAUAAGAGGGAGAACAUGCAAACUCUUGCAGAUGUUUCCCUCAGUGGGAUUUGAACAGAGGACCCCAGCACUGCAAGGAAACAGUAAUAACCACCAUCAUAGAUGUUGUCGGAAGUGACAGUGUCAUCAGUCACUGUGCAUAUAGAUUUGAUUCCUAUAGCCAACCUGACCUCUCUUGCUAUGAGAAUUGGAAUACCUGGGGUCCAACGUACCAUGCCUAGGCCAGAAUAUCGGGUGGGCUCUUUCUGCCAUAAUUUUCUAUAUUUCUACGAAGCCACAAUAGAAAGAGAUGAAAGGCACACGAAUUCCCAGUACAGCAGAGAGAACAGUUUUACAGGGAACACCCACUGGGAUCAAAGCCUGCAGUCCAAAAAGCAAAUAUGUCUUAAAAAGCAGCCAUG